rnacentral:lncRNA from 1 species
UUUUAAUUGAAGAUAAAAACACAUAGUUUAUCCAGCACUAAAUUUUGUUAAAUAAUAAACAAUAAUAAAAAAUCAAAACAGACAAGAGUAAAGAAAGAAUAAAGCAAUUAUUGUCAGUAAUAUGCUGUUUGGAAGUUAUUUCAAGUUCAAAUGGCUCAAUAAAAUUGAAGACAUAUAACACAUAGUUCAUCUGACACAUACAAAAUUUAUCAACAAAUAAAAUGAAAAAGGUGAACAGUCACGGACUAGCACUAAACAAAAGUGAAGAAAAAAUAAUAACAAAUGUGUGCAAUAUGUUAUUUGCAAGUCACAUUAAGUUCAAAUGUCUCUAUUAAGUAUAAGACAAAGCUAGUUUUACAUGAGUAGGAAUGUCCCUUCCUCAUUAUUUUUUUUUUGCCAUCAGAGGCAUAAUCUUUUGCAAAUUCACAAUGUAUUGCAAUAGCAAUGUGUCAUAUUUUUGAACUUGUGUAUUCAUUCAUAUAUGUUUAAACAUGACUAUUUAACAAAAACUGAUUUAUUAUUAUAGAAUAUUGAAAAUAUUUAUCAAACAGUUAAUAUGAAGAACAGUCUAAACUAUUUCUGAUGACCCUUUUCAACAAUAAAAACCCGAGUAUAUUUCGAUUAUUUAUAUUUUACUUCUGACCAAAAUGUGGCACCUAAACCUUUCGUAUAUAUAUGCAAUAAUGAUUAAUCAAGAUCUUGGAUUUAUCCAAUGUUCAAAAUCACAUUUUCAAAUUUACCUUAUUAUUUUCUGUAUGAAGCAUUUUCAUGAUAGGAAAAAUGCAUUUGCCAAAUCUAAAUUGGUGCAAAAUCUAUAAAAUACAACAAUUUAAAACAAACAUUGAACACAAUAUACUAUGGGCAGUUUUAAAAUGUGAGAAAGAUUUUUGUCAUCAAAUUCAAGAUAUUAGUAUAAAUAAAUGUAACAGAUAUUUACCAUUACAUAUACUACACUGUUAAUUAAUUGUGAAUUAAUAGUAUAAAUUUAAAUUUCAAAUA